rnacentral:misc_RNA from 1 species
AAUUCUCAACCUUUCUAGUCUUUUUGGGCUUAGUUGGGCUUGGAUAUUGGGAGUUUGCAGAUUCUUAAUGUGGAGUCAGCUCUUCUGAAAUACAUUAGCCGGAUUACUCGCUGCAUCGUCUUUGAUAUGAUAAAUAUCUAUAUCAUUGGCGAACAGUGUGUUCCUUAGUGGAAAGAUCCAGCUUUCUAAUCCUCUUUUCGAGGCAAAUUAAUGAAUCAU